rnacentral:rRNA from 1 species
UGGGGAAUUUUGCACAAUGGGCGCAAGCCUGAUGCAGCGACGCCGCGUGAGGGAUGAAGGCCUUCGGGUUGUAAACCUUUUUCGCUCAUGGUCAAGCCGCAGCUUUGGGUUGUGGUGAGGGUAGUGGGUAAAGAAGCGCCGGCUAACUACGUGCCAGCAGCCGCGGUAAUACGUAGGGCGCGAGCGUUGUCCGGAAUUAUUGGGCGUAAAGGGCUUGUAGGCGGUUGGCCGCGUCUGCCGUGAAAUUCCAGGGCUUAACUUUGGGAUUGCAGUGGGUACGGGCAUGCUAGAGUGCAGUAGGGGAGAUUGGAAUUCCUAGUGUAGCGGUGAAAUGCGCAGAUAACAGGAGGAAAACCGGUGGCAAAGGCGGGUCGCUGGGCUGUUACUAACGCUGAGGAGCGAAAGCGUGGGGAGCGAACAGG